rnacentral:SRP_RNA from 1 species
GCCGGGCGUGAUGGCGCAUGCCUGUAAUCCCAGCUUCUCAGGAGGCUGAGGCAGGAGAAUUGCUCGAACCCGGGAGGCGGAGGUUGCAGUGAGCCGAGAUCACACCACUACAUUCCAGCCUGGGUGACAGAGCAAGACCCUGUCUCAA